UAUGGUUUUAAUUUUAGUUAAUAACUCUGGUCUGCAGUCAAAAGUCAAAGAUCUCACAGUUAUCUGAUAUUAUAUGAAUUAACUUUAUAACUUCCUUGUUGUAUGACAACAAUUGUCUUAUUUGCAGCAGUUUUUCUAAUUAGUUCUAGAAGGAACAUCAAAGAUAGAGCUGAUACCUAAACGAAACAGGAGAGUUUCAUAAUUUUCCUCUGGGAAUAUGAGAGAAAACCCAGAGGACAGUAACUUGUCAGUUCUCUUAGACUGUUAUUUCAGUCGAACACUAAUUGAAUACUUGACUGAAACACCGCAGUAUCAUGUAAUCUGUGAUGCUCUCGUCCAGCUUCUCCUCUAAGGUCAUUUAUGGGGUUUCCAGUGACGUGUUGGCUGAUGGAUGCGGGUCAAAAGGUCAGCCAAUUUACCCGUUGUCAUGGCAGCACAGAGGUUUCAACCACAGCGCUGGAUGACAGGCAGACACAUGGGUUCACUGCAGACGCGGGAGGUCAGAGGUCAAUCAUAUAUGGUGUCUGACAGCAGCUUCAUCUUUCAGUUUUUCUCUCAUAUUGAUGGAACAAAGUCGUUUGCUGUUGGUUAAAUCACUUUUAUCGUCGAGACACCGUUAGCUCGGUGGAUUGUGGGGAGAAGAACAGGUAGAGCAGAUGCGAUGACGACACGGCUACGACAGUGAUGCCCGCGGCCAAGCGCACGUCAGGACUGUGGCUGCACGCCGUAGUGAUUUUUUUUUUUUUACACAAACACGCACACAUUUUUUCAUUGCUCUUCAAGUGUUCAUUGACUCUACUGUAAAUCAGAUUUGCAAUUUGCAAAUGCUUGCAAAAAACCACACUGCCCAUCUGUAUUUCUAGCUUUUCUAAGUUUCAUAACCAAAUUUCACACCCAUGAGGGCAUGAAAAUCACAAAAGCAAUGCUCAAAGACCCAUGUCUUAACUAUUAAAGGAG